AACGAACGCUGGCGGCAGGCCUAACACAUGCCAGUCGAGCGGACCCUUCGGGGUUAGCGGCGGACGGGUGAGUAACGCGUGGGAAUAUGCCCUUCUCUACGGAAUAGUCCUGGGAAACUGGGGGUAAUACCGUAUACGCCCUUUGGGGGAAAGAUUUAUCGGGGAAGGAUUAGCCCGCGUUGGAUUAGGUAGUUGGUGGGGUAAUGGCCUACCAAGCCGACGAUCCAUAGCUGGUUUGAGAGGAUGAUCAGCCACACUGGGACUGAGACACGGCCCAGACUCCUACGGGAGGCAGCAGUGGGGAAUCUUAGACAAUGGGGGCAACCCUGAUCUAGCCAUGCCGCGUGAGUGAUGAAGGCCUUAGGGUUGUAAAGCUCCUUCAGCUGGGAAGAUAAUGACGGUACCAGCAGAAGAAGCCCCGGCUAACUCCGUG
rnacentral:rRNA from 1 species